rnacentral:miRNA from 1 species
CCAACGGGGGCAGAGUUCCUAUU